CAGGAUGGCUCCGUAGUCGUCCUUGUGGCGAAUGACUCUGCCAAUGGCCUGGUUCACAGCUCUGAAAGCCUGCUGGCUGUACCACUCCUGCCCAGACAGGAGCUUUCUUCCGACACAUCUCAUCCAGGAACUGCAUCUUCAGGACGACUCGAGGGUCCAUCCUCGGGGGGAAAGGAAGGCCAGUGAUGACCACACCCCGACCAAAGAAUUUUUCCAGCUCUCCGGACUCAUUGGCCUCACCUUUCCUCGGCACACAGCGAAAAAGCUUCCCCCUUUGGAUGAUGGAUCAUUGACUUUGUUGUAAUAUCCGUCCAUAACCUGAGAAUAGUAGGAGAGAAGAGAUCAGCCCUCAAACUGACAGACCUGUAAAGAAAUCUGUCAGGACCAGCUCAGGAGAAGUUGCUGCUUCUUCAAGGUUUCUUUGAGGAACCCUAGAAAUACUCCUCUGAAUAUUUCAAUAAAGCACACUCACCUCAUUAAAGGUGCCCUUUCCUCUAGGUUCAACA